UACGAAGGGGACUAGCGUUGUUCGGAAUUACUGGGCGUAAAGCGCACGUAGGCGGCUUGGUAUGUCGGGUGUGAAAUCCCCGGGCUCAACCUGGGAACUGCAUCCGAAACUGCCUUGCUAGAGUAUGGGAGAGGGAAGUGGAAUUUCCGGUGUAGCGGUGAAAAUGCGUAGAUAUCGGAAGGAACAUCAGUGGCGAAGGCGACUUCCUGGACCAAUACUGACGCUCAGGUGCGAAAGCGUGGGGAGCAAACAGGG
rnacentral:rRNA from 1 species